rnacentral:rRNA from 1 species
CACGGGGGGAGCAAGCGUUGUUCGGAAUCACUGGGCGUAAAGGGCGUGUAGGCGGUCAGGUAAGUGAGAUGUGAAAUGCCCCGGCUCACCCGGGGACCGGCAUCUCAUACUGCUUGGCUUGAGUACGGGAGAGGAUGUGGGAAUUCCUGGUGUAGCGGUGAAAUGCGUAGAUAUCAGGAGGAACACCCGAGGCGAAGGCGGCUCUCUGGGUCGGACCUGACGCUGAGGCGCGAAAGCGUGGGGAGCGAACGGG